CAGCGCCGCGGUAAUACGUAGGGUGCGAGCGUUAAUCGGAAUUACUGGGCGUAAAGCGUGCGCAGGCGGUUAUAUAAGACAGAUGUGAAAUCCCCGGGCUCAACCUGGGACCUGCAUUUGUGACUGUAUAGCUAGAGUACGGUAGAGGGGGAUGGAAUUCCGCGUGUAGCAGUGAAAUGCGUAGAUAUGCGGAGGAACACCGAUGGCGAAGGCAAUCCCCUGGACCUGUACUGACGCUCAUGCACGAAAGCGUGGGGAGCAAACAGGAUUAGAUACCCGCGUAGUCCCUGUCUCUUAUACC
rnacentral:rRNA from 1 species